rnacentral:rRNA from 1 species
UACGUAGGGGGCUAGCGUUGUCCGGAUUUAUUGGGCGUAAAGAGCGUGUAGGCGGCCAGGUACGUCUGCUGUGAAAACUCGAGGCUCAACCUCGAGACGUCGGCGGAAACCAUCUGGCUAGAGUCCGGAAGAGGAGAGUGGAAUUCCUGGUGUAGCGGUGAAAUGCGCAGAUAUCAGGAAGAACACCCGUGGCGAAGGCGGCUCUCUGGGACGGUACUGACGCUGAGACGCGAAAGCGUGGGGAGCGAACAGG